AGAGUUUGAUCAUGGCUCAGGACGAACGCUGGCGGCGUGCUUAACACAUGCAAGUCAAGGGGGCCCGCAAGGGUAACCGGCGAACGGGUGCGUAACACGUGAGCAAUCUGCCUCGAUGUGGGGGAUAGCCGGCCCAACGGCCGGGUAAUACCGCAUACGCUCUCUGGGUGGCAUCACUUGGAGAGGAAACAUUUUUGGCAUUGAGAGGAGCUCGCGGCCUAUCAGCUAGUUGGUGGGGUAAUGGCCUACCAAGGCUUUGACGGGUAGCUGGUCUGAGAGGAUGGCCAGCCACAUUGGGACUGAGAUACGGCCCAGACUCCUACGGGAGGCAGCAGUGGGGAAUAUUGCGCAAUGGCCGAAAGGCUGACGCAGCGACGCCGCGUGGGGAUGAAGCAUUUCGGUGUGUAAACCCCUGUUGCCCGGGACGAACAACUGGUUUUGACCAGUCUGACGGUACCGGGUGAGGAAGCACCGGCUAACUCCGUG
rnacentral:rRNA from 1 species